UUUUUUUAAUAUUGCUUUUUUAGUUGAUAUUUUUUAAUGUAUUUUUUCUUAAAUAAUUUUUAAAUUUAUGUUUCAAUUAAUAUCUCUCCUCUGUGAUUUUUUUUUUUUUAUUUAACUGUUUUUUGAUAGAGACUUUUUUUAAUGGUGUUGUGUGUAUUUAGUUUUUGAAAAAAUUAUUUUGAUUCAUCUAUAAUUUUUUUUAAUCUUUUAUAUAUAUGAAUAUUUAUUUUCAU
rnacentral:lncRNA from 1 species